rnacentral:rRNA from 1 species
GAUGAACGCUGGCGGCGUGCCUAAUACAUGCAAGUCGAGCGAACAGACGAGGAGCUUGCUCCUCUGACGUUAGCGGCGGACGGGUGAGUAACACGUGGAUAACCUACCUAUAAGACUGGGAUAACUUCGGGAAACCGGAGCUAAUACCGGAUAAUAUAUUGAACCGCAUGGUUCAAUAGUUAAAGACGGUUUUGCUGUCACUUAUAGAUGGAUCCGCGCCGCAUUAGCUAGUUGGUAAGGUAACGGCUUACCAAGGCAACGAUGCGUAGCCGACCUGAGAGGGUGAUCGGCCACACUGGAACUGAGACACGGUCCAGACUCCUACGGGAGGCAGCAGUAGGGAAUCUUCCGCAAUGGGCGAAAGCCUGACGGAGCAACGCCGCGUGAGUGAUGAAGGUCUUCGGAUCGUAAAACUCUGUUAUUAGGGAAGAACAAAUGUGUAAGUAACUAUGCACGUCUUGACGGUACCUAAUCAGAAAGCCACGGCUAGCUACGUG